CCCUACAGCACUCAGCUGCUGACAUAUUACUUUGAGGCUAUAGCUAUCUGUGCUACAGAGACCACAACCAGUGCAGGAGUUCAGACAGACUGAACCCCCUUUUUUUUGGACUGAGAAGAUACAAGCAUGAGAGUUUCACUGGCAGCCUUGCUUUUGAUCUCGGAGCUGUUAGAAGCCAUUGCACCACAGAUGAAAGGAGUUAGAAAAUUCCAUAUCAUAAUGCAGUUAUAUCAGUAAUUCAUGGAGCAGUUAUGCUUACCAGGUUUCUGUGAACUGAUGUUGCAGCUUUACAAAGGUAGAGAGUUUUCUACAAGUUGGAUGAAUAACAUCAGCAAUUUUUGUAGAGAAAUACAGUGAAGAUUUUGUGGGCACGAUGUGGCAAGUGCAUGGAAAGCGUGGAAAAGACCACAGAAAGUAAGUGUUCAGAAAGUGAGCACUGGCAGACGCUUAUGAGCAAAAGCAGAAAGAAGAAAGUGGA